rnacentral:sRNA from 1 species
GGUUAUCUUUAGUGGAGAAAUAAUGACUAAAAAGCCAGCUUUUAGCAGUAAACGUUUUCUCAAGUAAAGAUGUUCAUUUAAAAUUGAUGCAUAAAACAUUGAUAUCUGUAUAUGACUAGACAAUAAGACUGACUAGCAGAUGGGACUUCAGUUGGGUAACAGGUACAAAACUAGCCAUAGUGGUAAAGGAUGAUACAAUUUGAAUCUUCCAUACAGUGUUCUCUUAUAAGAAAUAAGUAUAGCCAGAUGUAAGCAAUAAUAGGUUUCUGUUUUUUCUCAUUUACCUUUGAGUUUUCAGCAAAGAGCAGCUCUCAGAACGAGAAGAUUCCAAAAGACAUUUUAAAUCCUUUCAAAUGGUCUUCAGUAUUCUUCCAAAAGUAAUGGGUGAAAUCUUUCGUUCUUUUAACAUUUAAAAAAUUGUUCUGGAAAAGAACAAACAAGUUAUUAGAGAUGAAAGCCCAUAGAGCUUUACAGGUGCAGUUAAACCACCUAUGAAAGUUACAGAAUGAGUGUUGAGAGCAGUCUGUAGUCAACAAAACAGUGAAAAUGGUUUAUCUUUUAGCUUUAUUUUGAAGCCAAAAUUUACUUUCAUUCUUCUUACAGAAUAACCAAGCAGAUCUAGAGAAUGCCACAGAGGUGCUCUCGGGCUACCUUGAACGAGAUAUUUCCCAAGAUUCUCUGCAGGAUAUAAAGCAGAAAGUACAAGACAAGUACAGAUACUGUGAGAGUCGACGAAGGGUUUUGUUACAGCAUGUGCAUGAAGGCUAUGAAAAAGAUCUGUGGGAGUACAUUGAGGACUGAGAAUGGCCCUGCAUAAAAUGAACUCUGAAAACUUUACCAUCUAGAGUGCUCAUGCAAUUAAAACAAAACAAACACAAACAAGGAGGCACUAAGCCUAUUCUGACACCACUGGUCUGUAGUACCAGAAUUGUUUUGUUAACGGAAAGUUUAAGUAAAUUAUAUUGUAAUAAAAAGGUAGAUAAACCAUUGUACAACAGUAUUCUAGGCCGCCAACAAAAGUGUGACAGACACACUAAAAGCCCUCCAACUUUAACUUGUAACGUAGCUUCAUUCUCAAAGCUGACUCCUUUUUUUUCUUUUUCCUUUUCCUGAGUGUAGUACAGUUAAAAUUUCAAACAGCUCCUUGACACUGCUUUUCAUGUUCAAACCAGCCAUUUUGUUGUACUUUGGUAAAGGACCUCUUCCCCUUCCUCCCCUACACAUACAGAUACACCCACACACAGACUGACUCUCUUUCUCUCAUACCCCAAGGUCAUGAGUGAAUGAUGCUUAGUUCCUUGUAAAGAAAAUCUUGGGAUGGGGAAAGGGGUAGGCAGCAAGAGGAUUCAACAAACGAAAAACAUAAAAACUUUGUAUAUGACUUUUAAAACAAGAGGACAACACAGUAUUUUUCAAAAUUGUAUAUAGCGCAUAUGCAUGGACAAAGCAAGCGUGGCACGUGUUUGCAUAAUGUUUAAUUACAAAAAAAUAUUUAUUCUUUAAAAAUCUUCAAGAUUAUGUCUAUUUGCUGUGCAUUUUCUUUCAGUUUGCUUAUCUUUCCCGGGUUGGGGUUGGGAUAAAGGUGUGUUGGUUUAGCACCUCUGGAAGACCUAUCUAGAGCUCUUUCACUUUCCUGAGGUUAUUUUGCCCUUUCUGGUGUUGGUAUGUCUGUUGCCGGCCAUGGGCCUCAUGCCUUGAAUUCCUGCUCUUGAUCAGGGACAAGGGAGGUCAAGCUCUGACUAAUGCCAUGACCUGAUUAAGGGGUACAGCAGGGAGUUUUGUUGCUACAGCUCAUGAAUUAACCUGUCCCAACCUAAUCCCCCUCCAUGGCAUCAUGCCUCUACCCAAGCCUUUGUGUGCCCAUGUUAUGCACACAGCUGUAGGCAUUCUUAAGUUCCCUGUCGCAUCCAGUGGAAGCAUUUUAAAAUUUCUUUUACUUUUUGGUUUUCCCUUAAUUGCUGCUUUUCAGAUUUUAGUUAUGGCUCGUCUGCUCACCCCUUCUCUACAUUAGGGUGUCAAAGAGAAUGUUUUGCUCUAAAUAUAAAUAGCCAUUCAUUUAGUCUCAGAUUGUGAAUUUAAAAUGGCGGAUACCGAAAUUGCUUGUGUGUGUUGCUGUGGGUUUGGUUUGAAGGCAAACACCCCUAGAACAUGAUAUUCCCAUCUAGUGCAUUUAAAUAGAAAUCACUGAGUUUGCUGCUUUUUUAUUGUCAGCAGAUAGGAGAAUUAAUAAUACAUUUUAGCUGUGAUGUCCAUUUUUAUGAAAUUCCUACUAAGAGCUAUGUUAAAAGUAAAGGAUGGUGGUGGUUGUAUUAACUAUAUACCUGUUUAGGCCAUUCUGGCUGUGGUAUUUUUCAAUAGGUCAGCAUCUGUAAAUCUGUCAGUUUUAUACAGGAGUGCAGAGUGAACUAGGCAACUAGAUUAAGAGGUCUAAAUAUGAAAUACCAGUUGAGGCUGAGGACCUCUUCGUCUUCCUUUAAAUGUCUUGUGCCUAGGGAGUGUUUACCAUUUGUGAGGCAGCUUUGUCUGCUCUUACACUGUACAUCCUAUUACUCCAUUGGGAAGUAGGUUCACUUUCCUCUGGCCUUUUGCCUAAGUUAGGCUUUGCUGAAUCAACCCUACUUUUCCUUUUAGAAAAGGUUGUUACAGGAGAUAUACUGGCAACUGUUCUUUUCCCAUCAAAAAUCAGUGAAUGUUUGCUGAGUAUAAAUGCUGCUUCCUUAAACCACUUGUCGCUUUAGGAUCAACUUUACCUGUACCUUUUCUCCUUUCCUCCCUUGCCACCUCAGGUGCAAAUCUGAACUCAGUGUCUGCUUCUUCCAUUUUCUCGUCUCCCUCCCCUCUUCCCCCAUUAUCCAUAUGACAUUAUUUUACUUCAAAUGACAGCAUCAAUCUUAAAAAGAUAUACAUUAAAACUAAGGAGUUUUUUUAAAGAAAGCCUGAAUAAGUUCCUUUCCCUGGUAACUUUGAAAAGCAGUCAGAGUUGCUAUAUAGAUAUAUGUGGCUCCUUUAAAAUGCUUUGUGUAUGUGUGGUGUUUAAAAAAAAAAAUCUUACCAGUUAACUUUGCAGUGUCUAGGUUUGAGUGUCAUAAAUCCACGUGUUCCUGUUGCAACAAAUACCCAAAAAUUGUGUGUGCACUUCCUAAUACCAGUCUUCACCCAUGGAGGAACAGUGCUUUUUAGAGAUGCUUUCUAUUUCAGUGUUGGCAUACUGCCUGAGGGUAUUGCAGUUGUGGGUGCAUUCCCUAAUUUGUAUGAUCAAGAUGAACUGGCCCUUUUCUACUUCCAAGCUUUUAACAGAUACCACCAUAUUUGACAGAAUUCCCAGAGUGAAUUGCUUGUGUUAUUAGUAGAUUCAGUGCCCCCAGCUGGGAUAGGCAAGCCAUGACAGCUUCCCUGUUUCACCUACAUAAGUCUUAUCUGAGGGAUCUAUUCACAGUAAGCACCAAGGUCUCCAUGUCUUGAGGUCAGUUUCAUUGUCUUUUGAAAAGUGCAUGCUUCAUUUGAACAAUUCAUUCAGCAGCAGAUGGACUUUCAGUGAUUUAAAAUAAAAUUUUGAUCCAAAGCUCAGGACACAAACCACAGUGGUAAAAUUGAGUAGCAUAUAAUAUCAGACUAAAUUAUCUGUAAUUUUCCACAACCCAGAUUGUAUGUGUUUUAUGUGUGUUUAAAUAAAUAUGUUAGAUACACGUGUAUACAUACACACAUAUACAACAGAUCCAAGACUGGCUGACUUCAUUUGAAAUGGUUGAAUCUGCUGUGUAAUAAAGUGGUUCAACCAUGAUUAGGAACUGAAAUUUAGUAGAAGAGGGAAAAGGAGUUAAUGUAACAAAUUAUUUUAGCUACAAACCCCGGUAAUAGAGCACUUGGGGGAUGGGAUGGGGUGGGUUGGUGAGACAAUCAGAAUGGUAAAUUGAUUAAAUGCUCCUAACCCUGUAAUUUUGUGCAUAGAGCACCCUGUGCUGUGGAAAUAACUGUUCUUAGAUUUCAUUGUAACUGGACUGUUCAGGUUGCCCAGAGGGAAAGAACAUUCCUAAUUCUAAUAAAAUAAACUUUUAUUUUGUUAUUCC